rnacentral:rRNA from 1 species
AUUGAACGCUGGCGGCAGGCUUAACACAUGCAAGUCGAGCGAGCGGCGGACGGGUGAGUAAUGUCUGGGAAACUGCCUGAUGGAGGGGGAUAACUACUGGAAACGGUAGCUAAUACCGCAUACCAUCAGAUGUGCCCAGAUGGGAUUAGCUAGUUGGUGGGGUAACGGCCUACCAAGGCGACGAUCAGUAGCUGGUCUGAGAGGAUGAUCAGCCACAUUGGGACUGAGACACGGCCCAAACUCCUACGGGAGGCAGCAGUGGGGAAUAUUGGACAAUGGGGGCAACCCUGAUCCAGCCAUGCCGCGUGAGUGAUGAAGGCCCUAGGGUUGUAAAGCUCUUUUGUGCGGGAAGCGGUACCGCAAGAAUAAGCCCCGGCUAACUUCGUGCCAGCAGCCGCGGUAAUUC